UUCCGGUUGAUCCUGCCGGAGGCCAUUGCUAUCGGAGUCCGAUUUAGCCAUGCUAGUCGAGCGAGGUUAGCCCUCGCGGCGAACAGCUCAGUAACACGUGGCCAAGCUACCCUGCAGAGGGGGACAGCGUCGGGAAACUGACGGGAAUCCCCCAUACCGGUCUCACGCUGGAAUGCCGAGACCGACAAACGCUCCGGCGCUGCAGGAUGCGGCUGCGGCCGAUUAGGUAGUCGGUGGGGUAACGGCCCACCGAACCGAUAAUUGGUACGGGGUGUGAGAGCACGAGCCCGGAGACGGAAUCUGAGACAAGAUUCCGGGCCCUACGGGGCGCAGCAGGCGCGAAACCUUUACACUGCACGAACGUGCGAUAAGGGGACUCCGAGUGCGAGGGCAUAUAGUCCUCGCUAUUGUGUACCGUAGGGUGGUACACGACCAAGAGCUGGGCAAGACCGGUGCCAGCCGCCGCGGUAAUACCGGCAGCUCGAGUGAUGGCCGAUUUUAUUGGGCCUAAAGCGUCCGUAGCUGGCCCUGCAAGUCUGUCGGGAAAUCCACUCGCCUAACGAGUGGGCGUCCGGCGGAAACUACAGGGCUUGGGACCGGAAGACUUGAGGGGUACGUCUGGGGUAGGAGUGAAAUCCUGUAAUCCUGGACGGACCACCGAUGGCGAAAGCACCUCAAGACGACGGAUCCGACAGUGAGGGACGAAAGCUAGGGUCUCGAACCGGAUUAGAUACCCCGGUAGUC
rnacentral:rRNA from 1 species